rnacentral:rRNA from 1 species
UACGAAGGGGGCUAGCGUUGUUCGGAAUUACUGGGCGUAAAGCGCACGUAGGCGGAUUGUUAAGUCGGGGGUGAAAUCCUGAGGCUCAACCUCAGAACUGCCUUCGAUACUGGCGAUCUUGAGUUCGGAAGAGGUUGGUGGAACAGCUAGUGUAGAGGUGAAAUUCGUAGAUAUUAGCUAGAACACCAGUGGCGAAGGCGGCCAACUGGUCCGACACUGACGCUGAGGUGCGAAAGCGUGGGGAGCAGACAGG